rnacentral:misc_RNA from 1 species
GGGCACUGAGCAGGGAA